AUGUCCGCUUGGUCCAUCACACCGUUAACGUUUCCACAAUUUGAUGUGGGACCAAGGAAAAUUCGCUUUAUUUACUUUGCAAAUCCAACAUCUUUCCGGCUCACACGUUGUCCGAAGAAGAGUGCAUUGGUUCCUCUCUACUUGGGUGCAGAUAUCUUCUCAAACACAGAUAUCCGCGUGGAGAAUCACCCCAGAUACCACGCCAAGUUUGCAAAGAAAGGUUAUGCCACAAAACUGAUCUUUUCACCAGCAUUCAGGUUUGAUGGACUGAGAGUCCCGACCACCACCAACAGCCUCUGGUUCUACAGCAUUCAAGGCCUUUUUCGAGUAGCUUUUGAAUUAUAUAGUAAGCAAGAACAGCUCACUGUGAUGGAUAAGUUACAGGAUGUCUGGAAAUCCCAGAUAAAUGACAGUCCUUUGGAAUUGAAUUACAACAUCAGUAUCCGGCUUGACUCUGAAGUGGGCGAUAGCAUCCCUGAAAUGGAUGAAGAACCCAAUGAGGAAUCUUUAAAUCCCCACCAGAGUCGGGUGGUUGAAGAAUCGGCGGAUGCCAGUCAAACGGACCCAGGUUCCUCUGGCGAUACCUCAGCAGAUCAUAAUUACUGUUCCUUAGAGGAGCAGAGCUUCGAGACGCAGCUAAAAUCCAUCCAGACCACGUUGUCCUCCCUCAAAUUGAGACUACAGAGCUUGGAGAAAAAACGAUGUUCUGAAGACAAUGCCGACUGCACUCAGAAGUUCAAGACUGCUUUGUUACUCCUGGACAGCAUUGACGGGUGUUUAGAUGGGAACCUGGAGGAAAAACAUCUAACACAGGCUGUGCUAACCCUGCUAGGAACAGUGUGUGGGGGUUCUGUGUAUUCCAGCCAUUUACUUAACUCUGUAGCGCGCUGGCUCGGCCAGCGGUUUCACGGUGCCAACAGCUGCAUCAGCCAAAAGGUGGAGAGCUUUAAAGUGGAGCAUAUUGAGCGCAUCACCGACCUGCCGCCUGCAGAUCAACUGGCCACAGAGCUCUUCCCAGAGGCCAUGCAGACGCUGAUGCUCCACUGGAUGGGUCUGAGCGACGAGGCCCACCAGGCGAAGAGGCACAGCGAGUAUCCCAUCCUGCUCCUCAUCCUUGAGUUCGCAAACCACAACCUCAUAACCGGUGCAGCGCACGUGCUUUACUCCAGCCUUAUAUGUAGAUGA
rnacentral:lncRNA from 1 species